GCUGGCGGCGUGGAUUAGACAUGCAAGUCGAACGGGGUUAUUUUACUUGGCAACAAGCGAAAUAAUCUAGUGGCGUACGGGUGCGUAACACGUGAGAAUCUGCCGAGAAGUGGGGGAUAGCUCGUCGAAAGACGAAUUAAUACCGCAUGUGACCGCAAGGUUAAAGAGGGGGAUCGCAAGACCUCUCGCUUCUUGAUGAGCUCGCGGCCUAUCAGCUUGUUGGUGAGGUAAAAGCUCACCAAGGCUAUGACGGGUAGCUGGUCUGAGAGGAUGACCAGCCACACUGGAACUGAGACACGGUCCAGACACCUACGGGUGACAGCAGUCGAGAAUCUUUCACAAUGGGGGAAACCCUGAUGGAGCGACGCCGCGUGGAGGAUGAAGGUCCUAGGAUCGUAAACUCCUGUCAUCAUAGAGCAAGAGUAAGGAUAUUAAUACCAUCCCUGCUUGAUAGUAUAUGAAGAGGAAGGAACGGCUAACUCUGUGCCAGCAGCCGCGGUGAUACAGAGGUUCCAAGCGUUGUUCGGAUUCACUGGGCGUAAAGGGUGCGUAGGGGGCCGGGAAAGUUGAAUGUGAAAGCUCGCCGCUCAACGGCGAAAUUGCAUUCAAAACUAUUCGGCUAGAGGGUCGGAGAGGAAAGCGGAAUUCUUGGAGUAGCGGUGAAAUGCGUAGAUAUCAAGAGGAACGCCAACGGCGAAAGCAGCUUUCUGGAAGACACCUGACCCUGAGGCACGAAGGCUGGGGGAGCAAACAGGAUUAGAUACCCUGGUAGUCCCAGCAGUAAACGGUGUUCACCAGAUGUCGGCGGAUUCGACCCCGCCGGUGUCAAACCUAACGGAUUAAGUGAACCGCCUGAGGAGUACGGUCGCAAGAUUAAAACUUAAAGAAAUUGACGGGGGCCCGCACAAGCGGUGGAGUAUGUGGCUUAAUUCGAUGCAACGCGAAGAACCUUACCUGGCCUUGACAUAUAGAGUUCAGGCAAUGAAAGUUGCCGGCCCGCAAGGGCGAUCUAUACAGGUGCUGCAUGGCUGUCGUCAGCUCGUGUCGUGAGAUGUUGGGUUAAGUCCCGCAACGAGCGCAACCCCUGUGGCUAGUUACAGCUUAGCUGCUCUUUAGCCAGACUGCCCUGUGAAACGGGGAGGAAGGUGGGGAUGACGUCAAGUCUGUAUGGUCCUUACGGCCAGGGCUGCACACGUACUACAAUGCCCAACACAGAGGGACGCAAGACCGCGAGGUGGAGCUAAUCCCAUAAAAUUGGGCCCAGUUCGGAUUGGAGGCUGCAACUCGCCUCCAUGAAGCUGGGAUCGCUAGUAAUGGCGCAUCAGCUACGGCGCCGUGAAUACGUUCCCGGGCCUUGUACACACCGCCCGUCACAUCAUGAAAGCCGGUUGUACCCGAAGUCGCCGAGCCAACCGCAAGGAGGCAG
rnacentral:rRNA from 1 species